AUCUACGGCCAUGCCACCCCGAACACACCCGAUCUUGUCUGAUCUCGGAAGCUAAGCAGGGUCAGGACUGGUUAGUACUUGAUGGGAAACCACCUAGGAAGACCAGGUGCUGUAGGCG
rnacentral:rRNA from 1 species